rnacentral:rRNA from 1 species
CAGCAUCCUAGCCGAAGCGCGGACCUCAGUCCCGGCUGGCCGUAUUACACCCUGGGCUAUAACACCUCCACCGAAGUGGAGGCCACAUUCCCAGAGCCUUUAUCCGGCCGCCGAAACUGAUGCUGGCCUGUCCAAACUGAGUAAACCGGUCAGAAGACCGGCCGAACAGUUUAAACAAGUCUGAUUGCAAGCGCUUCCCUUUCAACAAUUUCACGUGCUUUUUAACUCUCUUUCCAAAGUGCUUUUCAUCUUUCGAUCACUCUACUUGUGCGCUAUCGGUCUCUCGCCAAUAUUUAGCUUUAGAAGAAAUUUACCUCCCAUUUAGAGCUGCAUUCCCAAACAACUCGACUCGUCGAAGGAGAUUUACAUAGGGUGCCAUUUCCUGUCACAUACGGGAUUCUCACCCUCUAUGACGUCCUGUUCCAAGGAACUUAGACAGGCGGCUUCCCCAAAUCAUCCUCUACAAAUUACAAUGCGAACCCGAAGGCUAGCUUUCAAAUUUGAGCUGUUGCCGCUUCACUCGCCGUUACUAGGGCAAUCCCUGU